ensembl:lncRNA
CUCCCUUUCAUCUUUACAUGCCCAACAGAGGAAGCUCUCAGGAACGGGCUGUUCUUUACCGUCACGGCCAGAGUGGAGAAGAUGCUCUCCCAGGUCACAGCCAAACACCCCUUCCUUCUUUAUCUCCCGCUGCUUCGGUUCCUUUGGGCGGGCCUUCACCAAGGAACGAAGGAAGCUGAUGAGCUUGCCGCGCUUCUUUGGCACUGUGCAACACAAGGAAGAAACCAGUUCAUUUCACGUUGGGCUCAGCGGGACCAGGCUGAGCGUCACACAUUCUACAGAGCACGUAAAAGCGGGAAGAACAUUGCCAACAAGUACAUACAACAACGGACUUUCCCCGUCCCUGGAGGAGUCCAAGGCCACGUUGGAUGGGGCCCUGGGCAGCCUGGUCUAGUCUGGCAUUCAAAGUGGAGGUUGGCAGCCCAGCCUGAGGCACGGGGCUUGGAGCUUGAUGA